rnacentral:rRNA from 1 species
UGGGGAAUAUUGCGCAAUGGGGGCAACCCUGACGCAGCCAUGCCGCGUGAAUGAAGAAGGCCUUCGGGUUGUAAAGUUCUUUCGGUAGCGAGGAAGGCAUUUAGUUUAAUAGACUAAGUGAUUGACGUUAACUACAGAAGAAGCACCGGCUAACUCCGUGCCAGCAGCCGCGGUAAUACGGAGGGUGCGAGCGUUAAUCGGAAUAACUGGGCGUAAAGGGCACGCAGGCGGUGACUUAAGUGGGGUGUGAAAGCCCCGGGCUUAAUCUGGGAAUUGCAUUUCAUACUGGGUCGCUAGAGUACUUUAGGGAGGGGUAGAAUUCCACGUGUAGCGGUGAAAUGCGUAGAGAUGUGGAGGAAUACCGAAGGCGAAGGCAGCCCCUUGGGAAUGUACUGACGCUCAUGUGCGAAAGCGUGGGGAGCAAACAGGAUUAGAUGCCCUGGUAGUCCACGCUGUAAACGAUGUCGAUUUGGGGGUUGAACUUUGUGUUUGGCGCCCGUAGCUAACGUGAUAAAUCGACCGCCUGGGGAGUACGGCCGCAAGGUUA